GCGACAGUCCUUGAGAUCGACGAUUUCCGAAGCACCUUCCUUGGACCUGAGGCUUCGAUUCAGCAGCAAUUUUAUGACAUUCAAACGACGGGCUCGGCAGGCCAAAUGUAGUGCCGUGGCGCCAGAUUUCGUGCGAGCCGUAAGAUUGACGUUUUGAUCUAGCAGGAUGUUCAACAUUUCCAUGUUACCAUGCAAAGCUGCCACAUGUAGGGCUGUGUGUCCUUCUCCGUUGGUCGCGUUCAGAUUAAGUUUUGUAGGAGCAGUAGAUUUGGAUGCGAAUGGUUUACUCAGUAAAUUGUAAAAAUUGGCCGAUUCGUUAAGACAUCGGGAACAGGUACAUAAGGGAUGGCAAACUUUUUCGGACAGUAGAUCUUUGUUAGGGGAAGACGAUUCGAUGAGGCCGUCCGAUGGAAGAACAUCUAAUCCAAGAUAGUAGCAAGCUAGUUUAUUGUCGUAAGCCGAAAUAGCAGCAAUGGCUUUAUCUAUUCGUUUCAUCUCUUCUAUGUUGCGGUAUUCAACAUAAGUUUCAUCAUCCAGAAGAUCCUCUUCCGAUAUGAGCACGUAUUCAUCAUUCGUGGCUGGCUUGGAGCUCGAUUUCUUCAAACGUUUUUGCUGAACGAAAUAUGCGUCUCUCAGCAUCUUACUGAUUUUGGAAUUAUGGGCAUAUUUGAAAGGAGUAGCUCCCACACGGUUCGGAAUAUUGAUAGCUGCUAAAUGUUCGAUCAAAGUUUCUACAAUUUCUGAAAAGCCCCAUCUUGCGGCGUAGUGAAGUGAAGUUUGCCCUAGCUGUGUUUGGGCAUUGAUAUCGACGUGAAUUUUCAUAUGCUCGGAAAAAUAAAGUAGUGCUUUAACACAUCCACUGUGCCCAUUUAGACAGGCUAGAUGGAGGGAGGUGUGCAGAUCGUUGCUGGUACUAUUUAUGUUUAUUCCGGCAUGCAACAGCAGCAGAAGCAGAUUUUGAUGGCCAUUGGCUGCGGCGUAAUGUAGAGCAGUCCAGUUCUUUGCAUCAACGGCGUCAACAUUCGGUUUCAGAUUCAGAAUGAUAGUGAGCAAUUUCGGACUGCCAAGGGUCGCUGCCAAGUGAAUAGCCGUUAAACCGUUUUGAUUACGGUCGUCUAUGUGUGGAUGAUAUGGAAGUAGUUCACAUCGACUGCAACUGCAAAGCGGAUGACAUUUUAGUGCAGUUGUGCUAGCCUCGUUGUUGUUGAAAUCUUGGAAAAUAUCCAAAAUCUCGUCCUCUUCAUUGUUUUUCAUCAGCAUAAAGAGGUAAUUCAGAAAUUGAUCGGAAUUUUUAAACUGCAUCUCUCGAAACUUUUUGAUUUUGAGCUCUUCGUUAGGCAUAAGAUCUAUGCCCAAACGCUGAGAACGUUCAAUACUACAACAAUUUAUGUACACAAUAACGGCUUCCAGAGUGGUGAUCAAAUAGCUUUUUUGGCCGUUUUGAUCCUUCUCCAUGGUUUCUGAUAAGUCGUUCAAUUGAAAUUCUUUGAGAAAUGUAAGAUUCAUUAUCCAGUUUGAUAAUCCUGAAAUGUAAAACAAAGAAAAUAAAUAUCAAAAGACAAAAGAAAAAUCGAAAAUAUCAUGCAAGCCCACCUGUUUUAAUGAUGAUGAAAAUAAGCAAUGGAAUAACAUCGUCAGUUGUGGCUAGCUUACCGCUCAUUUUGCCAUUCCAUUCGGAAUGUUCUUUGGCAAUGGUCUCGAAAGCCCUUUUCAAACAAGCCACCUUAUCAAUGACUGUGCGACAGUCAUCAAUGCGUAGCAACUCUUUCUUCACCAGGGGAAUGACAUCACCGUAGCAGCGUUUCAAGUUCAUCUCGGCUAUGUGUAUGUCUGAGAGGUUCCUGAUAGUCUUAUUGAAGCUUUCUACUUGAUCCAGUUGGCAAACAUUGAUCACAUCGCGUACAUGGUCGUACAGUUUAUCCAUCAUGUAGCUUUCAACCGCCAGCUUCACAUUUCCUUUGAGGGUGAAAUCUUUCUGGCAGCUAUCUUUGAGUUGACGAUUCUGCAAGAUUAUCUCCAGACAUUGAAUAUACAAUUUCCUGACAUCUUCUUUGUACUGCUGCAGAUGCCAUUGAGAGAAAUCACUUCGCGCUUUGACAAAGGACUGAACAAGGGCAUCAAUUUUAGUGAAGACAUGUCGUGAUCUCGGCACAGAUCGUAUAAACUCAACAGCAUCCUGCAGCUUGUUUAUCAUAAACAACUGACCGAUGUUAUCUUCUAGAGUCAAGCCGUAGGGCUUCGUAUCACAAAGAGGUCUUUCCGUGCACCAAACUCUAAACUUUAAGCCAUCUUUGGUGUAGAAAAUUUCCUCGAAAAGAAUAGUCACUUUAAAGGUUUCGCUGACCAAAAGCCGGCCAUUGCGGCGGAUAUCGAUACACGAUAGAUUGGUGAAAUGUGUCUCCGGUAGUUCUUCGUUGGGAACCAAAAUUUGAGCAAGAAGAAAAUCCUGAUCCCCCAGGCAUUUCUCGUUCAGAGUUCCGCUACGUGGAAUACAUAUGAUCCAACCUUCAAUUGGUGCAGUAUCCAGAAAUAUCUGGUGAUCCUUCUGCAGUUUUCGGUAGAAUGGAUUUUUCGAUAGGUCUUCGUCGUAUUGUAUAUCCAUAAUCUGAAAGCAUGAAACUUAUUUAGUUACUCGAUUAAUUCAAAUAUCCGAAUACCAACCAGAUAUAAUACUUUAUCUUUGCUAUUAGAAAUAAAUUUACAUUCUUUAUUAGCUGAAAUAGUUGUCUUUGUCGCUUAGUGCAAGCCACUGAACUACAUCGUAGAACGGUCUGAAACAUACGUGCACAAAUAAAUUUACAUUACUAAGUCAUCCUCGUCUUGUUUUCCAUUGGAGGAGGUUUCAUUCCACUUACCUGCUAAGCAUGAAUGAAUAGUCUAUCACUCACUACGCUAUAAAGGCUUAGCCACCAGAAGUGAACAAACACAAUCGCUUUCUCACAUUUCAAGCAUUUAAUACUUUUUCUGCAUCACUUAUUGUACGGUAUAGAACAAGAAAUUGCUGUAAUCGUUCGCAAAACUUCACCACUGCCAUUGACUUUUUUCCAGCCCAGAAAAAACUGCGUAAUCAUAAUUAUUCAUUCUUUAAUGUCGCUGAUAAGAAUUAUGCAAUAUGCUUCCUGUUAGCUACCGUAAACUUGAGGUUUGUAUGCCGUGAACUUGAAAUAUUUGGGAUAGUGAUAAUACUGGAAUUAAGUGGAAAGAUUCGCGAUAAUAACAAAACAGCACUAAACCACUACUUUUUUUUCUGCAAAUUUCGAGCUGACGGCUGAGGAAUGGACUGGGCUGCCCUCUCGUGAUCGGUAUUUGAAGCUUCUAAAAUAGAGUAGAGCUGUCUUUAUCAGAAAGAAAUUUGGGGUUUGUUUUGAUUUUGAAUUCAAAUCGAUGCGGUGUCCAAAUUUACCUGUUUUUUUGAAAUUCAAUGAAAAAUAAAUGUUUUUCAUUGUGAAAUGCCUCAGUAGCGUUUUGUGUGCAUGGGAAGUUAGCUUUAAAAUUAAAUGGUUUAUAAUCUAAUGCUAUAUUGUGAAUUUUCUGACGAUUUACGCGAGUUGCAAUUCGUUUGUUUAAAUUAUAGCGGUUGCGAGGAGGAGUCUACAGCAGGGAAAUGGCUGUUUUGGUAAUGUGAACCAAAAGUUGCUGAACAUGGGUUUACCUGCCAUCUAUGCCUGGUAAUGUUUGCUCGUUCCAAGAAACGGCUGGCAACGUAGAGGAUUCGUAAUCGUGUUUGGAUCCGGUUUCGCUCAGCGAUACUUCGUGCCGUAGUCGAUUUCCCAUCAUCUGGUGACCCCAAAUUAAAUCAUAUGGGAAACGAAUUCGAAAUCCUAGCCCGUAAACCGGCUUCCACUGCUACGGAUUUCUAGAUGCGUGGAAUAAAUAAUGUUACCGAUUGGACGGACGGUUUCCACAUAUAAUAGUUGAUUCCCGUUUUACUACUAACACACCACCGUUGAGAGCAGUAUAAUGCUGUCCAUAGAUACGGCAGUUUCUAUCGAUGCCAAUGAAAAAGUACACAAAAA